rnacentral:rRNA from 1 species
CCUACGGGUGGCAGCAGUGAGGAAUAUUGGUCAAUGGACGAGAGUCUGAACCAGCCAAGUAGCGUGAAGGAUGACUGCCCUAUGGGUUGUAAACUUCUUUUAUAUGGGAAUAAAUCAGUCUACGCAUACCCUUUUCUAUGUACCAUAUGGAUAAGGAUCUGCUAACUCCGUUCCAGCAGCCGCGGUUAUACGGAGGAUCCGAGCGUUAUCCGGAUUUAUUUGGGUUAAAGGGAGCGUAGGUGGAUUGUUAAGUCAGUUGUGAAAGGUUGCGGCUCAACCGUAAAAUUGCAGUUGAAACUGGCAGUCUUGAGUACAGUAGAGGUGGGCGGAAUGCGUGGUGUAGCGGUGAAAUGCUUAGAUAUCACGAAGAACUCCGAUUGCGAAGGCAGCUCACUGGACUGCAACUGACACUGAUGCUCGAAAGUGUGGGUAUCAAACAGGAUUAGAUACCCGAGUAGUC